rnacentral:rRNA from 1 species
GAUUUCUGGCUUGAAACAUUUUGCCGGCCACGGUUUCGUGUGUUAGUGCUUGAUGUUCUGGCCAUCCUUCCAAUCGCUAUUGGUGGCUCUUCAUUGGGUCGUCAGUAGUAUUGGAUCUUUUACUUUGAAAAAAUUAGAGUGUUUCAAGCAGGCUUUAUGCUAUGAAUACAUUAGCAUGGAAUAAUAAUUUAGGACUUCGGUUCUAUUUUGUUGGUUUCUAGGACUGAAGUAAUGAUUGAUAGGGAUAGUUGGGGGUGCUAGUAUUCAGCGGCCAGAGGUGAAAUUCUCGGAUUCGCUGAAGACUAACUUAUGCGAAAGCAUU